GGGGACGAUAAACGGACAGCACAGAGGACGUGUUUGGUAAAGCAUAUGGACGUCAUAUGUGUGGGUUCGAUUCCCACCGUCCUCA
rnacentral:tRNA from 1 species